GACGAACGCUGGCGGCGUGCUUAACACAUGCAAGUCGAACGGAAAGGCCCUGCUUGCCGGGUGCUCGAGUGGCGAACGGGUGAGUAACACGUGGGUGAUCUGCCCCUUACUUUGGGAUAAGCCUGGGAAACUGGGUCUAAUACUGGAUAGGACCAUGCUGUAGGUGGUGUGGUGGAAAGAUUUUUUCGGUAAGGGAUGAGCUCGCGGCCUAUCAGCUUGUUGGUGGGGUAAUGGCCUACCAAGGCGUCGACGGGUAGCCGGCCUGAGAGGGUGGACGGCCACAUUGGGACUGAGAUACGGCCCAGACUCCUACGGGAGGCAGCAGUGGGGAAUAUUGCACAAUGGGCGCAAGCCUGAUGCAGCGACGCCGCGUGGGGGAUGACGGCCUUCGGGUUGUAAACUCCUUUCAGCCAUGACGAAGCCUCUUUUGGGGUGACGGUAGUGGUAGAAGAAGCACCGGCUAACUACGUG
rnacentral:rRNA from 1 species